ACAGGCAUAUUCACUCGCAGGGGCGGAGCUAAUGUUUCUAUAUAUAGUGUCUAGAUUGGGUCAUGCUCACAUUGAAGACUAAGCGUUGAAUUGGACAGACUUGUAGUCUCAUCUCUGUACUAACUACUUAUCCUAGCUAUGGACGCCAAGAAAGUUCUACUCAUUGCUGUCAUUUCCUGCGUUCUCCUAUCUGUCUGCAUCGAGCAAACCACAGCCCAAGGGGGACUCCGGUGGGGAAGAGAGUUCGAGAACGAAUUCCAACAAUGGAAGGAUGCUCAUUACCCGAGUCGCGAAGAGAGACGAAGCUUCCAGAAGAAACGAUCGUUUAAAAUGGCAUAACCACCUUGGAAGAGUUAAUACCAGUCAGUGUUCACACGAGAAGAGAAACAUAUAAUAACAUUUAUUUUGUAGAAUAAACUAACUCCACCCAAUAAAGUCGAAUCAUCUCAGCAA